UUGGUUUUCUAUAACAAUUUAAUCACCAUUUUAAGAUUAAUCUAAAACUACUUUGAAAUAUAAUUCCCAAGUCUGUGCAAUGUAUUAUUUUUCGUUUUGAGCGUUAAAUUUAUGAUGAUAAAUCAAAUUUAACGACUUAUCAAUUGCUACGUUACAGUGACUUCCCUUGGCGUCUUGUUUCGAACGUUAACUUUUUGACAUUAUGUUAAAUUUUUAUUGUCAACUCGUCGAUGGUAGUCGCUUAAUGCCACCGUGCGGCAAAGCAAUUUUAUGCAAGCGUGAACCUCAAAGGAUAAUAAAAUUAAUGGCCUCAAUUUGAUAGAUGGAUAUGUUUCUUUAAAAUUUUAACGACACUGUACAAAUGAACUAUGUAUAUUUAAAAAAAAAAAUUAUUUUAAAGAAAAAUGUAUGUUGAAUAAUGUUUUGUUUGACUUUUUGAGUAUUUGCUUUAACAUUUUAAUUCAUGUAUGGAUUUUAUACUUGUAUAUUAUUAUAGUAAAUUUACGAUUAGUUGUUUUUCUUUGUAAAAUGUAGUGUGAUCUUAGCUGGUAUGGGUUAUUUUUAAGAUUCUAUAAGAAUCCCUAGAGGAUUGGCCUUAGAUAUCAAAGUUGUAAAAAUGUACACUAAAAUAGAAUCUUUUUAACAGUACCAAACGUACUCUGGGCAUUUUUUAAUGA